UACAGAGGUCUCAAGCGUUGUUCGGAUUCAUUGGGCGUAAAGGGUGCGUAGGUGGCGCGCUAAGUCAGGUGUGAAAUUUCGGAGCUUAACUCCGAAACUGCAUUUGAUACUGGCGUUGCUUGAGGACUGGAGAGGAGACUGGAAUUCAUGGUGUAGCAGUGAAAUGCGUAGAGAUCAUGAGGAAGACCAGUGGCGAAGGCGGGUCUCUGGACAGUUCCUGACACUGGAGGCACGAAGGCCAGGGGAGCAAAACGGG
rnacentral:rRNA from 1 species